rnacentral:rRNA from 1 species
CAUCCUUUGACCACUCUAGAGAUAGAGCUUUCCCUUCGGGGACAAAGUGACAGGUGGUGCAUGGUUGUCGUCAGCUCGUGUCGUGAGAAUGUUGGGUUAAGUCCCGCAACGAGCGCAACCCUUAUUGUUAGUUGCCAUCAUUUAGUUGGGCACUCUAGCGAGACUGCCGGUGACAAACCGGAGGAAGGUGGGGAUGACGUCAAACCAUCAUGCCCCUUAUGACCUGGGCUAC